rnacentral:rRNA from 1 species
CCUACGGGAGGCAGCAGUAGGGAAUCUUCCACAAUGGGCGCAAGUCUGACGGAGCAACACCGCGUGAGUGAAGAAGGGUUUCGGCUCGUAAAGCUCUGUUGUUAGAGAAGAACGAGCGCGAGAGUAACUGUUCACGCCGUGACGGUAUCCAACCAGAAAGCCACGGCUAACUACGUGCCAGCAGCCGCGGUAAUACGUAGGUGGCAAGCGUUGUCCGGAUUUAUUGGGCGUAAAGCGAGCGCAGGCGGUUGCUUAGGUCUGAUGUGAAAGCCUCCGGCUUAACCGGGGAGGGGCAUCGGAAACCGGGCGACUUGAGUGCAGAAGAGGACAGUGGAACUCCAUGUGUAGCGGUGGAAUGCGAAGAUAUAUGGAAGAACACCAGUGGCGAAGGCGACUGUCUGGUCUGCAACUGACGCUGAGGCUCGAAAGCAUGGGUAGCGAACAGGAUUAGAUACCCGGGUAGUC